GUCUACAGCCAUGCCACCCUGAACAAGCCCGAUCCCAUCUGAUCUCAGAAGCUAAGCAGGGUCGGGCCUGGUUAGUACUUGGAUGGGAGACCACCUAGGAAGACCAGGUGCUGUAGGCG
rnacentral:rRNA from 1 species